GACGAACGCUGGCGGCGUGCUUAACACAUGCAAGUCGAACGGAAAGGCCCUGCUUGCCGGGUACUCGAGUGGCGAACGGGUGAGUAACACGUGGGUGAUCUGCCCUGCACUUCGGGAUAAGCCUGGGAAACUGGGUCUAAUACCGGAUAGGAGCCAUUUUUAGUGUGAUGGUUGGAAAGUUUUUUCGGUGUAGGAUGAGCUCGCGGCCUAUCAGCUUGUUGGUGGGGUAAUGGCCUACCAAGGCGGCGACGGGUAGCCGGCCUGAGAGGGUGGACGGCCACAUUGGGACUGAGAUACGGCCCAGACUCCUACGGAAGGCAGCAGUGGGGAAUAUUGCACAAUGGGCGCAAGCCUGAUGCAGCGACGCCGCGUGGGGGAUGACGGCCUUCGGGUUGUAAACUCCUUUCGCUAGGGACGAAGCUUUUUGUGACGGUACCUAGAUAAGAAGCACCGGCUAACUACGUG
rnacentral:rRNA from 1 species